rnacentral:lncRNA from 1 species
CCCCGCGCUUCCUCAGGCUGCUGUCGCCGCUGCUGGGAGAUGGGCCUACUCGCCCGCCACCCUGCGCUGCCGCCGCUCUGAGGAGUUAAAAACAUCCAUGAUAGCAGUCUUCUGUAAAUCGAACUUUUCAAGAAUUCUCUGAAGGAACCAAGUAGGAUAUUCUUACAUCAUGACUUAAUGUGAAUGCAAGAACAAGAAAUAGGUUUUAUCUCUAAAUAUAAUGAAGGGCUGUGUGUAAACACUGACCCUGUCUCAAUUCUAACAAGCAUUUUAGACAUGAGUUUACAUCGGCAAAUGGGUUCAGAUCGAGAUCUUCAGUCCUCUGCUUCAUCUGUGAGCUUGCCUUCAGUCAAAAAGGCACCCAAAAAAAGAAGAAUUUCAAUAGGCUCCCU